GGCUCCACAAGCUCAGGUUUUUCAGCCCUAGGAAGGUUUAAGAAGUAAUGUAACAACUCGUCCGCCGGGGAAGCCGAAAGGCGUUUUCAUUAGACGAGCAACCAGCCAGCAGCCUCGUUACCUGAUUCCGCCCGGUCAGGAAGCGCAACUGCCACCUUUCAUUACUGGCACACAGAUGGUGAUGUGAGCAAAAAUGUGCCUGGAAAACGAAGCGGCGUUCUGGAGAAUUUGGCCUUGAUUAGCUAGCGACAUUUUAAUAUAUUUUUGCCGGAAAAAUUGGCUGAAAAAAAGGAGAAGAGAUCCAAAAGAAAUGUGACCUGUAUUUUCCCUUUUUCCCUUUGAUGGGCUUAACUCAAAGUAUCUUCCUCUCCCGGCUUACCCACUCCGUCUGAUUCUGCUGUACGGUCAUAAUCGCAGGAAGAGGAAUUGCCGUCUGCUGCUCUGGAGAUGACAGUAAUGUCUCAAAUAUUUCUUUAUGACUUCC
rnacentral:lncRNA from 1 species